rnacentral:rRNA from 1 species
GACGAACGCUGGCGGCGUGCCUAAUACAUGCAAGUUGAGCGCUGAAGGUUGGUACUUGUACCAACUGGAUGAGCAGCGAACGGGUGAGUAACGCGUGGGGAAUCUGCCUUUGAGCGGGGGACAACAUUUGGAAACGAAUGCUAAUACCGCAUAAAAACUUUAAACACAAGUUUUAAGUUUGAAAGAUGCAAUUGCAUCACUCAAAGAUGAUCCCGCGUUGUAUUAGCUAGUUGGUGAGGUAAAGGCUCACCAAGGCGAUGAUACAUAGCCGACCUGAGAGGGUGAUCGGCCACAUUUGGACUGAGACACGGCCCAAACUCCUACGGGAGGCAGCAGUAGGAAAUCUUCGGCAAUGGACGAAAGUCUGACCGAGCAACGCCGGGUGAGGGAAGAAGGUUUUCGGAUCGUAAAACUCUGUUGGUAGAGAAGAACGUUGGUGAGAGUGGAAAGCUCAUCAAGUGACGGUAACUACCCAGAAAGGGACGGCUAACUACGUG